UGCCUAACCUGCAAGUCGAACGAACCCUUCGGGGUUAGUGGCGCACGGGUGCGUAACGCGUGGGAACCUGCCUUUAGGUUCGGAAUAACUCAGAGAAAUUUGAGCUAAUACCGGAUAAUGUCUUCGGACCAAAGAUUUAUCGCCUUUAGAUGGGCCCGCGUUAGAUUAGAUAGUUGGUGGGGUAAUGGCCUACCAAGUCGACGAUCUAUAGCUGGUCUGAGAGGAUGAUCAGCCCACUGGGGACUGAGACACGGCCCAGACUCCUACGGGAGGCAGCAGUGGGGAAUAUUGGACAAUGGGGCGAAAGCCUGAUCCAGCAAUGCCCGCGUGAGUGAUGAAGGCCUUAGGGUUGUAAAGCUCUUUUACCAGGGAUGAUAAUGACAGUCCCUG
rnacentral:rRNA from 1 species